UGUGGGCAGGUGCGGGAGGUGAGGAAGAGGCCUGAGCAAAGGGGAGGAUCGGGGCACACCUGCAAGCUUCCAGACUCACUUCCUGUGAGGCUGCACCCAGGAUGACCCCACCUUCCCACCGGGACAAUGGGGAGGGAGACUGGCUCCGUGGCAAGCUGAUGGGUUUUAGUUUGCUGAGGGACCAAUGCCAACCUGACCUCUCAUGCUGAUGCAAAGAAUUGCCCAUAAAAUGUCUCCAUCAAAGGUGGCUUGGUUACCGCUUGCAGGGCAAUGUUGCUGAAGGCCCUGUUUGCUCAAUUCUCUUCAUAAGUACCUAACACUUACUGGCUUAGUCCCAUUUUCUGAAAUCCCAGAUUGUCCCUUUAAGGAUAACUUGUCUAGCAAAACAAGAGCCUUUGCAGACUGCGCCUCUAAGCAAUAUGCUUUCUCAUUUAACAGAGUAUCUCCCCUAAGGAAACACACUGUCAGAGGCAAAGACCUCAGGCAGGAAGCGUUUUAUUUGACUUGGUGGAAUCUGAUGACUGGUCCUACUGAGUGUGGCCUGAACGGCAUGCUGUUAUACAAAGACCAGAGCCUUUGAAACCUGCGUACUUCCUCACAUGCGAAUCAGUUUAUGCUUCUCCGUGGACUUUGACAACCCGGGAAAGGAAGGUUCUGUUGCCAUCAUUUCAGAUGAGGAAGUGGACACAGAGAGGGCCACGGACUUGGCUCUAUGCCACGCAGCUCAUUGGUGUUCAUAGAAAUGGGAAGGAACCGACAUCUUCCAAUUGCUGUCACCUCUCAGCUGAAAUACCCAAAGUUGGAAAACACCACAAGAAAGCCAUGGUCAGCCUGGCGAGAGGACCCUGCCAGCUGCACACCCAGGGGGGACUGCUCAGGCAGCUCCACAUGCUGCCAGCCUUGCGCGAAAGGUGAGCUUGUGAUUUCCAUUUACAGUAGGUGCCACUUCAUGUUGUGACCCCAGGUGGCCCCAGUCACCCAGUAUCCUCCCUUGAGCCCCUUGCAGGCUCCACUCCCAUCAAUGGGCACUUCCUCUUGCCUCCACCUGGCCAGCUCCUCAUGUCCCUCGGUCCUUGGCUGGAAUAUCAUUCCCGGGACUGUAGGGCAGUGUUUUACUGUGGCCAUGGCGACUAUAUGAAUACACUGUGGGUGGUCGCUUGCCCGGCUCUCCCACCAGACCUGACCUCAUGGUGUGUGGGAACCCAGCCUUGCUCACCACCAUGCCCCAGCCACAGGUAGAGUAGAUGCCCCUAAAUCUUUGUUGGAUGAAUGAAUGAGUGAAUGAAUGAAUGAGUUAACUGAAUCAGCAGCUUCAGGAAAGAGGAGGAGGUGAACGAGAUGACCCCAGGUGACCUGAAGAUGCCCCAACGACACCUCUCCCUGCUCCUUGACUUGUUUUGGGACUACUGCAGAGAGCGUAGACAGGAUUUCUGACAGGUGCAGGUCUUCCCUCAGCUCCCAUGCAGCCCAUCGUGGAAGCCUGCCUCUUUUUUAUGGGAGGUGUGGAUGGAAAUGGCCAUUCACUGAGCCUCUGGAAGACAUCAGGGUGGAAACUGCUAUUCUGUACUAGCAGGGCUAAGCUGAGUUUCUGAGGUAAAGUCUCCGUUUACCCUAGAGGUAUCGGAGCUGGGAGCUCCACCCAGAUUUGAUUCAUUUGGGAGCUCACGUGAUGUUCCCCGGUAGAAGGAGACCUCCUCACUGCUGCACUGUGGGGCCAGCCAUCAGACCGAACGUGGGGCAUGCUAGGAGGCUCAUCUUCUGUCCCGCAUCCAAAGCUGCCAGCGCCUCCCAGGUUUGCUUCAGACCCUGGGCUUAACUGGAGC
ensembl:lncRNA